UAGGGAAUCUUCCGCAAUGGACGCAAGUCUGACGGAGCAACGCCGCGUGUGUGAAGAAGGAUUUCGGUUCGUAAAACUCUGUUGUUAGAUAAGAACAGCGCAUAGAGUAACUGUUAUGCGUGUGACGGUAUCUAACCAGAAAGCCACGGCUAACUACGUGCCAGCAGCCGCGGUAAUACGUAGGUGGCAAGCGUUGUCCGGAUUUAUUGGGCGUAAAGCGAGCGCAGGCGGUCAAUUAAGUCUGAUGUGAAAGCCCCCGGAUCAACCGGGGAGGGUCAUUGGAAACUGGGUGAAUAGAGUGCAGAAGAGGGGAGUGGAAGUGCAUGUAUAGCGGAGAAAUGGGUAGAAAUAGGGAGGAAGACCAGUGGCGAAGGAGACUCUCUGGACUGUAACUGACGCUGAGGUUAGAAAGCGUGGGUAGCAAACAGG
rnacentral:rRNA from 1 species